rnacentral:misc_RNA from 1 species
AAGUCGUAACAAGGUUUCCGUAGGUGAACCUGCGGAAGGAUCAUUAACGAGUCUGGGGCUCCGGCCCCUCACCUCGCUCUCGUGUUUACCUGUCCUCGUUGCCUCGGCGGGCUGUCCGGGCUCGCGCCCGGCGCCUCGCGGCGUCCGCCGGUGGCCCAUGUUUUAAAUUCUUCCUGAAGUGUCGUCUGAGUAAACGUUAAUUAAACAAAACUUUCAACAACGGAUCUCUUGGUUCUG